rnacentral:rRNA from 1 species
GCCAGACUCCUACGGGAGGCAGCAGUGGGGAAUAUUGCACAAUGGGGGAAACCCUGAUGCAGCGACGCCGCGUGAGCGAUGAAGUAUUUCGGUAUGUAAAGCCCUAUCGGCAGGGAAGAAACAGACGGUACCUGACUAAGAAGCCCCGGCUAACUACGUGCCAGCAGCCGCGGUAAUACGUAGGGGGCAAGCGUUAUCCGGAUUCACUGGGUGUAAAGGGAGCGUAGACGGCGACGCAAGUCUGGAGUGAAAGCCCGGGGCCCAACCCCGGGACUGCUCUGGAAACUGCGGCGCUGGAGUACGGGAGGGGCAGGCGGAAUUCCUGGUGUAGCGGUGAAAUGCGUAGAUAUCAGGAGGAACACCGGUGGCGAAGGCGGCCUGCUGGACUGCGACUGACGUUGAGGCCCGAAAGCGUGGGGAGCAAACAGGAUUAGAUACCCUAGUAA